UACGUAGGGUGCGAGCGUUAAUCGGAAUUACUGGGCGUAAAGCGUGCGCAGGCGGUUUUGUAAGCCAGAUGUGAAAUCCCCGGGCUUAACCUGGGAAUGGCAUUUGGGACUGCAAGGCUCGAGUGCGGCAGAGGAGACUGGAAUUCCUGGUGUAGCAGUGAAAUGCGUAGAUAUGUGGAGGAACACCGAUGGCGAAGGCAGCCCCCUGGGUUAACACUGACGCUCAUGCACGAAAGCGUGGGGAGCAAACAGG
rnacentral:rRNA from 1 species